ensembl:lncRNA
GGUGAACUGCUCAAGCUGAGGUUUCUCCCCGUUCCUUGGAUCCAACUGCUGCUGAGGACCAGCGGGCGCUGCAUGCCAGGAUGCCCCGCUCUGCUCACCAUACCCCCUCGGCUCCAGGGCUGGGAUGCUGCUUCCCAAAGACCCAGCCCGUCACCCUUUCCAUGGUUUAAGUGAGUGUCCAAAGGUCACAGCGAACUCAAGUCCCUGCCCCGUGGCUCACGUCGUCCAGUGAAUAAGCAGUGGGUGUGCGGCACCUGAAUCAAAGCUCCCUCCUGCUGCAGAGCAGAGCACGGGGCAGCACUGGGCUGUGAGCCUGCAGCGCGUGCUCUGCGCCUGGCUGCACCCGGGUGGGAGUGGGGCCACUGGGAUGCUGCCCUGGUGGAUGCUGCCCCGGGGAUAAUACCCUGAGAGAUAACUGCCCCAGGGGAUGCUCUCCCCGAGUGAUGCAGCCCCGAGGGAUGCCCGCCUCAAGGGAUAUUCACCUGAAGAGAUGUUUACCCUGAGGGAUGCUCACCCCAAGGGAUGCUGCCCCAAGGGCCGCCCCAGCCCCAUCACCUCCCCCGCGGGGCGUUUCAGUCUUGCAGCCACCACAGCUGUGUGCAAUGCUCUGAGCACUGUCAGCUGCAGCCGACGAGGGGAAGAUGUGAUGGAGCGGAGUGUCGCAAGGGGCAGGGGCACAGCUGGGGCUGAUGACGGGGAGCAAAGGUGCUCAUCCCAGGGGCAGGCGGUGGGGCCGCUGCCCGGCGCUUCCCGCUUAGCCCUGGAUCCGCUCCAGCGCGCGUGAGCAGCACGAGCCCGUGGGGAGCGCCGGGAGGCGCCGCUCGGAGGGGCUUUCCAGCCACAUCCACAUCUGAACCUCACGGCGAGGCGAAGGCGUUGGGGAGAGGCCGAGAUGGAGAUCUGCUCACAUCCCAGAGCGCUCAGAGCGAUGACUCAAAGGAUUCCUGGCGUUACUGCACGGCGAGGUGCAGCGCGCUGCCACCGCCGCCGUCAGCACAACUGCGCUCCCUCGGACAGCUGCGAGUGCUCGCAGGUUUAUAGGGCUUAUUAGGCAAUUUCCUAUUAAAAACGUUUAUGUGAACACAUAAAUAUUCAUUUAUACAGAAA